UAACCCUAACCCUAUUUCUUUCUCUCUUUCUCCCACUCCCUCCCUGCCUCCCACCGCCUCCUCUCUCAAAUCCAUCUGCAAGCUCCAACGAUUACCCGAUGUCAGCAAUAAAAUCUUCUCUCUCUCUCUCUCGUAAAGUUCUAGGGUUUCGACUUUCGAAUUGAAUCGAUCCUUGGAUUUCGAUCAAGAUUCAAAUGGGAAGGAAGAGGAAAUCAGAGGCAUCAAGGCUCGAUGAGAUUGAUCGAAGCAUGUUUUCGACCUUCUGCAGCGCUGCGAACUCCCUCUCGCAGCUCUACGCGCAGGCUAUGAACCAGCAGAAGAUCUCUUUUCAGGCCGGAGAGCGCCAUGGAUUGGAGAUUCAAAGAGAAAAAAGAAGCUGCAGAACCAGAAGCUGAUCCUGAAAGGGACCAGAGAACUGUUUUUGCUUAUCAGAUGCCUUUGAAAGCGACAGAAAGGGAUGUUUAUGAAUUCUUCUCGAAAGCAGGAAAGUAAAUGCUCAUGUGCCUUCAAUGAGGCCUAUUAUAAUGACUUUUUUGUGGCUCAACAUUCUUUUAUUUGGUGAGUGUGAAAAGAAUUGGAAGUUUGAUUGCUCACCAUAUUGGGUGCAGUCCUUAGGGUGGUGUUAUGUGUAGUUAGAGACGUGCGGCUGAUCAUGGAUCGGAACUCGAGACGAUCAAAAGGAGUUGGGAUAUGAAAUAUGAGCAGGAGCAACAACAACAUCAACAACAAAUGGUGUCUAACUUAAAGUCACAAGUGAAAGCUAUGUAGGAACUUUUUUUAGGUAGCCAUCUUCAUUGACUCCUCAAACUCGAGAACAUGUGCAGGACCAGGCUAUCCAUGCAAGAUUAGGAGAGAGGGUAGCUCGAG